rnacentral:lncRNA from 1 species
GUUGGGGGUGCUGAUCCUGGGGACCCAGCCCAGGGGUCAGGACAGCCUGGGGACCAGCUGCAGCUUCCCAGAAGCCUGUGUGGGUAGGGGAGAUGAUGGGGGCACAGAGUCAGCCACCUACCCCUGGCAAGGUGGGACACAUCCCAGCCUCCCCAUCUUCCACUGACUCAGGGAAGGAUCUGUCAACAUCUAGGGGAGGGAGGAAAGAGCCUACUACGUACCUUCAGGAAGCUUCUCAUUAGGUGAUGGAUUUAAUCCUCACAACAACCAGAUGAGGUUGGCCUUGCUAUUAUCUCCAGUUGGGGAAACUGAAGCACAGAGGGUCUAAGGGUCUAAUUGUACAGAUUUGAAUCCAGGAGGUCUGAGUGCAGCUGGAUAGUCCUUUGCUGGGAUGGGAGGAUCCCCAUUCCCUGGGAACAGCCACACCCAUUCCCAGAACAUCACCACGAUCCCUGCUGCCUUCCCUUGGAGGACAGGAGUUGGUGUGAAGCUUCUCUGAGCCUCAGUUCCCUCAUCUAUGGAAUAGGAGCCAGAGUUCCUCCCUCCAGGGUCAGAAGGCAGCUAGCUGAUAAGGGGAGCAGCACCCACGGUGAGGUCUGACCAACAGCCGCAACCAUAGUGGCGCUUUGCUGAGUCUUCCUUGAGCUCCCUGUGUGCCUAACGCAGAGCUUCUCCCCUCCCCGGGGCUUUGGAAAAUCUGCUCUGAAAUGUCUUGAAUGAAUCACUUACUUCCAACGUUUCCUAAAGAGGCAAUGGGCUCCUGGGCCCUUUCUCACUCGGGAGGGCCUUUCCUCUGCCCCAUCAUUCUGAGGGUUUCUGGAAGAUGGAGUCCCGCUCUGUUGCCCAUGCUGGAGUGCAGUGUCGCGAUCUGGGUUCGCUGCAACCUCCGCCUCCCAGGUUCAAGUGAUUCUCCUGCCUCAGCCUCCUGAGUAGCUACGAUUACAGGUGCCCACCACCACGCCUGGCUAAUUUUGUCUUUUUAGCAGAGACAGCGUUUCACCAUGUUGGUCAGGCUGGUCUCAAACUCCUGACCUCAAGUGAUCUUCCCACCUCGGCCUCCCAAAGUGCUGGGAUUACAGGCGUGAGCUGCCGUGCUCAGCUGCUCCCCCAUUUUUUUCGUUCAGGAAAGCAAAGUUCAGAGAGGAGUAGGUUUCUGUGCAGGGCGUGUGGCAGAGCUGGACUUGAACUCAGGGCGGAAUCCUUAGCCAUGGUGCCCCCUGCCACAUGGUUCGGCUUUCCUUCAUCUCUGCUCCCCAAGAUGCCUGGCUCCAGCUGAAGAUCCAGGGUUCCCAGGUUCCUCUUCUGGGGACAGGUCCUCCUUCAGCCUGACCUGAGCUCUGCCACUUCCACCGGCAUGAACUGUAGCAACAAUUUGGCUACCCGGGCCUCAUUCUCUCCAUCUGGAAAAUGGGCACAGCAUGUGCCUUUCUGCACAGUGAGGUCAUGAAGGAUUGAUGAGGCAACACGCAAGGAGCGUAAGCCUAGGGCCUGGCACCCAGGAGGCCACCCCAGUGGGCCCUGCUGGGUUUCCGAUUUCCCCUGUGACACCUCCUGGGGGCCGGAUCCCCAGCGGGAGGAGGGAUGAGGCCUGGGGGGCCUGGCUCUGGCACAAUGCAGAGCAUUGAGCUCAUGCCAGCCUUGGCUUUGGGUUUGGACAAAUACAGUAAUCUGGGCAGGACUCACACAAAGACCUGGGGGCCAGGUCAGGCGAGGGGCGUCAGGUUACCCCUGUGGGCUGCAGCCACACAGGCGGCUUGGGGGGUGUAUUUUUUUUCCCUAAAGAUUAUCAUUAAAUGAGCCCUCACCGAGGCCUCAGCAGGCAGGUUUCAUUACAGGAAAAACUGAGGUAUAGGGGUUUGCAGGCCUAACGGGACACGCUGUCACUGUGAUAGGAACAGCAUUAGCAAUAAUAACAGCUGUCCUUCCGGACUGGUUCCCAAGGGCUAGGCCCUAGGUGAAUAAUAAGCCUUUUCUCGAUCCUUUCUGCAGCCCGAGAGGAAAGCCCCAUGCUAUCCCCAUUUCAUAGAUGGGAAAACUGAGGCUUGAGGACACUUUGCGGCCUCCAAGGGCUGUUCUCUUCAUUCCUCCAGCAGAGUGGAUAUGAGACGGUGCAGGGUCUGGAAUGUCUGGGCAGAAGGAAGAGCUGGAGCAAAGGCCUGGAGGCUGGAGAGCGCUGUCGGGGGGCAAGUGGGGCAGUGUCCCACUGCGGGGUUUCAUCUCAGCUCUGCCAUGUCUUGGCUACGUGACCUCUGACACCCUACUGGGCCUCUUUGAUCCCAGACUCACCUGUAGAAUGGGUGUGUGAGAAGAAAACCUUCUGGAGCGGGGUGUUGAGGAGAGAACAGUGCCUGACACAUCAUAAUAAUAAUGCUGAAUAGAUGUUAUUUUCAUUCCUAACCACUUCCUCCAGGAAGCCCAUCCUGACCUCUAGCUCCCAAAGUCACCUGGACUUCCUCCAUCACAGACCUUGCCACAGUGUGAGAAACUGCCUCAUCCACACACCAGCUUCUCACCUCCACCCAGACCCUCUGAUUGGGACUCCCCUGAAGACUGUGUCCCCAGAGCCCAGAAAGAGUCCAGCACAGAGCAGCUGAGGGGGCAGGUGCUGGUGAACAGUGUCAAUGAGCCCCUGCUACUCACCAAGCCCUUCACACACGGGUCCUUCAUUUAAUGUCUUUCUUCUCCUAGAUAGAACCUUGGCUUUGCCAAGACCGGUAUAGUUGCUGCUCAAGAAAUAUGUGAGGAAAUUGUUGAGAUGAACCAGCACUCAGGGGAAGGGAGGCUUUCUGAGGCUGGGGCCUUAGCAGGUGGAGCUCCUGGGAUAAUAAUAAUAAGAAAGAUGCCUGGACGCGGUGACUCACACCUGGAAUCCCAGCAAUUUGGGAGGCUAAGGCAGGCAGAUCACUUCAGGCCAGGAGUUCAAGACCAGCCUGGUCAACAUGGUGAAACCUGGUCUCUACUAAAAAUACAAAAAAUUAGCUGGGCCUGGUGGUGUGAGCCUAUAGUCCUAGCUUCUCGGGAGGCUGAGGCUGGAGGGUCAAUGAUUGAACCUGGGAGGUGGAGCUUGUAGUGAGCCGAGAUCGCGCCACUGCCACUGCACUCCAGGCUGGGCAACACAGUGAGACUCUGCCUCCAAAAAGAAAGACAACAAUAAUCAUUAGUCUUUACUCUGCUCCAGGCACCAGGCUGAGUCUUCUCAGUUCAUCUCCCCAGCAGAUUAGUUCUAUUAUUGUUUCCAUUUCACAGAUGGGAAAAUCAAGGCACAGGGAGGGGAGGUGGCUUACUCCAGGUCACACAGUUAGUGAGAGGCAGAGGCAGGAUCAAAGCCAAGCCUGUUUGACUGAGGAGCCCGCCCCGAGACCUUAACCACACAACCCCUCCCUAGAAGGAAGGUGCCACUACUGGACACAUUUUGGAGAUGGAAACCAAGGCUAAGAGAGUCAGGAUGGCCUGCCCAUGUCUGGACACAGAAACUGAGGUUAAGCAGGAGAUGCCCGAGGCGGGGUCCCUGUCUCCUAGGCCAGCACCCUGAAGAAGGGGUGGGAGACAACCCCCCACCCCCCAAGCUGUCCCCUGCUUGUUGGAGUUUCUGGUCAAUACCCUGGCCUCUGUUACCCAGCCCAGCACCCAAGACGCUGCCUCUUCCGCCUGCCUGGAGUCUCGGGUGCCUUCACAAUCGGAUUCUCUGUCUCUGCAGCUGCUUUCCAUUUGAGCCCUUUGUGCUG